rnacentral:rRNA from 1 species
AACGAACGCUGGCGGCAGGCUUAACACAUGCAAGUCGAACGCCCCGCAAGGGGAGUGGCGCACGGGUGAGUAACGCGUGGAUAUCUGCCUUUUGGUUCGGAAUAACCCCGGGAAACUGGGGCUAAUACCGGAUGGUUCCUACGGGAUAAAGAUUUAUCGCCAAAAGAUGAGUCCGCGUACGAUUAGCUAGUUGGUGAGGUAAUGGCUCACCAAGGCGACGAUCGUUAGCUGGUCUGAGAGGACGAUCAGCCACACUGGGACUGAGACACGGCCCAGACUCCUACGGGAGGCAGCAGUGGGGAAUAUUGGACAAUGGGGUCAACCCUGAUCCAGCCAUGCCGCGUGAGUGAUGAAGGCCUUCGGGUUGUAAAGCUCUUUUGGCGGGGACGAUGAUGACGGUACCCGCAGAAUAAGCCCCGGCUAACUUCGUG